rnacentral:rRNA from 1 species
GACGAACGCUGGCGGCGUGCUUAGCACAUGCAAGUCGAACGGUGAACCGCUUCGGAGGGUAUCAGUGGCGAACGGGUGAGUAACACGUUGGCAACCUGCCCCCGUCUCUGUGAUAACUCCAAGACAUUGGGGCUAAUACCGUAUGUUCACCGCUUCCCGCAUGGGGGGUGGUGGAAAGGGUUUCCGGCGGGGGGUGGUCCCGCGGCCUAGCAGCUGGUUGGUGUGGUAGUGGCCGACCAGGACGACGACAGGUAGCCGGCCUGAGAGCGUGACCGUGCACACUGGGCCUGAGAGACGCACCAGAAGCCUACGGGAGGCAGCAGUGGGGAAUAUUGCGGAAUGGGCGGAAGCGUGACGCAGAGACGCUGCGUGGGGGAUGACGGCCUUCGGGUUGUAAACAUAUUUCAGAAGGGACGAAGCGGACGUGACGGUACCUGCAGAAGAAGCAACGGCUAACUACGUG